rnacentral:tRNA from 1 species
GGCGGACGUGGCCAAGUGGAUUAAGGCAGUGGAUUGUGGA